rnacentral:rRNA from 1 species
CCUACGGGUGGCAGCAGUGGGGAAUAUUGGACAAUGGGGGCAACCCUGAUCCAGCCAAGCCGCGUGUGUGAAGAAGGCCCUCGGGUUGUAAAGCACUUUCAGUGAGGAAGAACGCCUGGUGGUUAAUACCCAUCAGGAAAGACAUCACUCACAGAAGAAGCACCGGCUAACUCCGUGCCAGCAGCCGCGGUAAUACGGAGGGUGCGAGCGUUAAUCGGAAUUACUGGGCGUAAAGCGCGCGUAGGUGGCUUGAUAAGCCGGUUGUGAAAGCCCCGGGCUCAACCUGGGAACGGCAUCCGGAACUGUCAAGCUAGAGUGCAGGAGAGGAAGGUAGAAUUCCCGGUGUAGCGGUGAAAUGCGUAGAGAUCGGGAGGAAUACCAGUGGCGAAGGCGGCCUUCUGGACUGACACUGACACUGAGGUGCGAAAGCGUGGGUAGCAAACAGGAUUAGAUACCCGGGUAGUC